rnacentral:rRNA from 1 species
GACGAACGCUGGCGGCGUGCUUAACACAUGCAAGUCGAACGGAAAGGCCCUGCUUUUGUGGGGUGCUCGAGUGGCGAACGGGUGAGUAACACGUGAGUAACCUGCCCUUGACUUUGGGAUAACUUCAGGAAACUGGGGCUAAUACCGGAUAGGAGCUCCUGCUGCAUGGUGGGGGUUGGAAAGUUUCGGCGGUUGGGGAUGGACUCGCGGCUUAUCAGCUUGUUGGUGGGGUAGUGGCUUACCAAGGCUUUGACGGGUAGCCGGCCUGAGAGGGUGACCGGCCACAUUGGGACUGAGAUACGGCCCCGACUCCUACGGGGGGCCGCAGUGGGGAAUAUUGCACCAUGGGCGGAAGCCUGAUGCAGCAACGCCGCGUGCGGGAUGACGGCCUUCGGGGUGGAAACCGCUUUCGCCUGGGACCAAGCGUGAGUGACGGUAAUGGGUAAAGAAGCACCGGCUAACUACGUG